GAUGAACGCUAGCUACAGGCUUAACACAUGCAAGUCGCGGGGCAGCAUGGGGGUUGCUUGCUAUCCCAGAUGGCGACCGGCGCACGGGUGGGUAAUGCGUAUCCAACCUGCCCUUCAUCACGGGAUAACCCGGCGACAGUUGGACUAAUACCGUAUGUUUUCCAUUGACGGCAUCCGAUUUGUUUGAGUGGAUGAGGGGCUCACGACUGGUCUGCUUGUGAUUGGCUGGACGGCCGGGCAACGCCGCACCGUGUAGCCGGUCGGUAGGGGUGGAGGGAGGAAGGUCCCCCACGCGGGAACUGAGACACGGCCCAGACUCCUACGGGAAGCAGCAGUGGGGAGUAAUGGGCAAUGGGCGUAAGCCUGAACCAGCCAGGCAGCGUGCAGGAUGACGGCUCUAUGGGUUGUAACCUGCUUUUGUGCGGGGAUAAAGUGGGCCACGUGUGGGUUUUUGCAGGUACCGAAUGAAUAAGGACCGGCUAAUUCCGUG
rnacentral:rRNA from 1 species